rnacentral:rRNA from 1 species
ACGUAUCAAUAAGCGGAGGAAAAGAAACUUACAGGGAAUUCCCUAGUAGCGGCGAGCGAAGCGGGAAAAGCUCAAAUUUGUAAUCUGGCGUCUUCGACGUCCGAGUUGUAAUCUCGAGAAGUGUUUUCCGUGAUAGACCGCAUACAAGUCUCUUGGAACAGAGCGUCAUAGUGGUGAGAACCCAGUACACGAUGCGGAUGCCUAUUACUUUGUGAUACACUUUCGAAGAGUCGAGUUGUUUGGGAAUGCAGCUCAAAUUGGGUGGUAAAUUCCAUCUAAAGCUAAAUAUUGGCGAGAGACCGAUAGCGAACAAGUACCGUGAGGGAAAGAUGAAAAGCACUUUGGAAAGAGAGUUAACAGUACGUGAAAUUGUUGGAAGGGAAACACAUGCAGUGAUACUUGCUAUUCGGGGCAACUCGAUUGGCAGGCCCGCAUCAGUUUUUCGGGGCGGAAAAGCAUGGAUUGAAGGUAGCAGUUUCGGCUGUGUUAUAGCUUUCCAUUGGAUUCGCCCUGGGGGACUGAGGAACGCAGCGUGCUUUUAGCAUGAGCUUCGGCUUAUCCACGCUUAGGAUGCGGGUUUAUGGCUGUAUAUGACCCGUCUUGAAACACGGACC